rnacentral:rRNA from 1 species
UACGUAGGGCGCAAGCGUUGUCCGGAAUUAUUGGGCGUAAAGAGCUCGUAGGCGGUUUGUCGCGUCUGCUGUGAAAACCUAAGGCUCAACCUUGGGCUUGCAGUGGGUACGGGCAAGCUAGAAUUCGGUAGGGGAGACUGGAAUUCCUGGUGUAGCGGUGAAAUGCGCAGAUAUCAGGAGGAACACCGGUGGCGAAGGCGGGUCUCUGGGCCGAUAUUGACGCUGAGGAGCGAAAGCGUGGGGAGCAAACAGG